rnacentral:rRNA from 1 species
GACGAACGCUGGCGGCGUGCUUAACACAUGCAAGUCGAGCGGUAAGGCCCUUUCGGGGGUACACGAGCGGCGAACGGGUGAGUAACACGUGGGUGACCUGCCCUCAGCUCUGGGAUAAGCCUGGGAAACCGGGUCUAAUACUGGAUAUGACUCCAUGACGCAUGUUGUGGGGUGGAAAGCCUUGUGCGGCUGAGGAUGGGCCCGCGGCCUAUCAGCUUGUUGGUGGGGUGAGGCCUACCAAGGCGACGACGGGUAGUCGGCCUGAGAGGGCGACCGGCCACACUGGGACUGAGACACGGCCCAGACUCCUACGGGAGGCAGCAGUGGGGAAUCUUGCGCAAUGGGCGAAAGCCUGACGCAGCGACGCCGCGUGAGGGAUGACGGCCU